rnacentral:lncRNA from 1 species
ACUGAUAGUGUGGUCAGUAGGAGAGACACUGAUACAGUGUGGUCAGUAGGAGAGACACUGAUACAGUGUGGUCAGUAGGAGAGAGACUGAUACAGUGUGGUCAGUAGGAGAGAGACUGAUACAGUGUGGUCAGUAGGAGAGACACUGAUACAGUGUGGUCAGUAGGAGAGAGACUGAUACAGUGUGGGAAGGAGAGAGACUGAUACAGUGUGAUCAGUAGGAGAGAGACUGAUACAGUGUGGUCAGUAGGAGAGAGACUGAUACAGUGUGGUCAGUAGGAGAGAGACUGAUACAGUGUGGUCAGUAGGAGAGAGACUGAUACAGUGGGGUCAGUAGGAGAGAGACUGAUACAGUGGGGUCAGUAGGAGAGACACUGAUACAGUGGGGUCAGUAGGAGAGAGACUGAUGCAGUGUGGUCAGAUGGAGAGAGAAGGAGAGAGACUGAUACAGUGGGGUCAGUAGGAGAGAGACUGAUACAGUGGGGUCAGUAGGAGAGAGACUGAUACAGUGUGGUCAGUAGGAGAGAGACUGAUACAGUGUGGUCAGUAUGAGAGGGAAGGAGAGAGACUGAUACAGUGUGGUCAGUAGGAGAGAGACUGAUACAGUGUGGUCAGUAGGAGAGAGAAGGAGAGAGACUGAUACAGUGUGGUCAGUAGGAGAGGGAAGGAGAGAGACUGAUGCAGUGUGGUCAGUAGGAGAGAGACUGAUACAGUGUGGUCAGUAGGAGAGAGACUGAUACAGUGUGGUCAGUAGGAGAGGGAAGGAGGGAGACUGAUGCAGUGUGGUCAGUAGGAGAGAGAAGGAGAGACUGAAACAGUGUGGCCAGUAAUCGAAUCUCCCAAAUAACAUUCCUUUAUAAAAAGAAUAUGGGGUGCCCCAGAGUGAGAAAUUUCACUGCCUAAUUUCUUCUGGGCGGGCAAGCGGGGAGGGGACAAUAAAUAGUUGUUACGUGAAUUAAGUUAUCAAUGUUCUUCAACCGAACUUCAAUUAAACUACUCAGUCUGCCCCCCAGAGGGUGUAAGAUUCUGGUUGAGUGAAGCAGACGGAGACCCAGCUUACAAUGGUCAGAAUGUUUAUUUACGAGAGCUCUGCCUAAAAAUGAGGACACAGUCUUUUUAUAUGUAAAACACACACACACACACACACACACACACACACACACACACACACACACACACACACACACACACACACAAAAUAACUCACAUCAGUAGAGAACACCCCGCUUUAGGCGGCUGUAUUUUUCCACAUUACACAUACAUUCUUUAUCACACUUCUGUCUCCUAAUCUUCUCCUCGACUAUCCGUUUUCGGGCAGUUGUUCCCCUCCCUAACUCAGGGAGGCCCCUUUUCCUGUUACUUUCACAAGGUCGUCUUAUCAACUAUGCCCUGCUCAUUUUGAAAUGGUAACAGUGUUCUUGUCUUAAAAAUUCUACUCACACACAG